UCCCUGGUGGCUCAGUGCAUUAAGAAUCCAGCAUUGUCAAUGCUGUGGCCAGGGUUCAAUCCCUUCCCAGGGGA
rnacentral:tRNA from 1 species